rnacentral:rRNA from 1 species
CACAUGACUCUCGGCAACGGAUAUCUCGGCUCUCGCAUCGAUGAAGAACGUAGCGAAAUGCGAUACCUGGUGUGAAUUGCAGAAUCCCGCGAACCAUCGAGUCUUUGAACGCAAGUUGCGCCCGAGGCCUUUUGGCCGAGGGCACGCCUGCCUGGGCGUCACGC